GACGAACGCUGGCGGCGUGCCUAAUACAUGCAAGUCGAGCGAAGCGGCGGAUGGGUGAGUAAAGCGUGGGUAACCUGCCCUUAAGUCUGGGAUACCAUUUGGAAACAGAUGCCAAUACCGGAUAAUAAAGGAGGGACCUGGGACGCAUUAGAUAGUGGGUAGGGUAACGGCUUACCAAGGCGAUGAUGCAUAGCCGGGUUUAGAGAAUGAUCGGCCACAUUGGGACUGAGACACGGCCCAGACUCUUACGGGAGGCAGCAGUGGGGAAUCUUGCACAAUGGACGAAAGUCUGAUGGAGCAACGCCGCGUGAGUGAAGAAGGUUUUCGGAUCGUAAAGCUCUGUUGUUGGUGAAGCGGUAAUCAACCAGAAAGUCACGGCUAACUACGUGCCAGCAGCCGCGGUAAUAC
rnacentral:rRNA from 1 species